ACUGCGCAGGGUGAGGCCCUUCUACAAGUGCUGCAUUUGGCUGGGAAUCUCCCGGUCCCCGUUGGGGGUGAGGGUGAGGGGUUCACAACACUCCCGCUCUUGCCAUCACUCCUCCCCGACUCAGCCUCAAGGGAAUGGUGGAGAGAGUAGGAGAGAUGCCUACUGAGGAGGAGACUGGACUCUUCUGCCUGGGGGCUCAAGAAGGCUGGAGCGGAGAGGGACAGGAGACCUGGAUCGAAGCUGCAGCCGAAUGAUGGGGGAGGAGCAGUGCCUCAACCCCAAGCCCUAAGCACCCCCCAGGGACCACCCCUUCCCUCCACCGUCUCUGCUUUUGUCUAUCCAUCUUCCC
ensembl:lncRNA